rnacentral:rRNA from 1 species
UACGAAGGGGGCUAGCGUUGUUCGGAAUUACUGGGCGUAAAGCGCGCGCAGGCGGCUAUCCAAGUCAGUGGUGAAAGCCCGGAGCUCAACUCCGGAACUGCCAUUGAAACUGUUUAGCUUGAGGACGAGAGAGGUGAGUGGAAUUCCCAGUGUAGAGGUGAAAUUCGUAGAUAUUGGGAAGAACACCGGUGGCGAAGGCGGCUCACUGGCUCGUUUCUGACGCUCAGGCGCGAUAGCGUGGGGAUCAAACAGG